ensembl:lncRNA
AUGCCCGGUCCGGGUGCGGGAUGCCCGAUCCGGGUGCGGGAUGCUCGGUCCGGGUGCGGGAUGCCGGGUCUGUCUGAGUGGGGGAUGCCCGAUUUGAGUGCGGGAUGCUCGGUCCGGGGUUGCGCGCCAGCCCCGCGCCAGAGCUCCGGCGGAUGGAUGGAUGGAUGGAUGGAUGGAUGGAUGGAUGGAUGGAUGGAUGGAUGGAUGGAUGGAUGGAUGGAUGGAUGGAGGAUCCUCCUGCUUUUCCUGCUCCCUCUCUCCCCGCCCCGGCCGGCGCUGCCCGAUGGGGAUGCUGAGCCGCCCCUCUUGUCCCCGCAGCCGCGGCCGCCGAGGAGCGGCUCCAGCCCGAGCUGGUGGUGCCGCGCUGGGCAGCCCCGGGUGGCCCUGGCAGCCCCAAGCAUCCACUCCAAGCUGAAGUUACAGUAAAGGCAGAAGGCCAGGAGCUCGUCUUGGAACUGGAGAAAAACAGGAACCUCUUUGCACCAGGCUACACCGAGACCCACUACAGCCAGACUGGGCAAGCCCAGAGCACCCCCCUGAGCCACACGGUGAGUGCACAGAUCCUUCCCCCCUGUGCCUGCAUGGGACACCAGCGCUUGGAGAAGCUGGUGAACCUCUUCCUCCUGAGCCUUUGUUUUGUUUUUUGAGGGCACAGAUCCCCACAGCUUUAAGCUAAAGGGGAGGGCAGUCCAGCUUUCUGAUCUGGGAGCUUCCAGUGGGAAAGCUGCUCCAUCCCCCAAAAAUGGUAAAAACAUCUUUCUGUUUUGCCUGAGCUCAGUUAUGAGAGCCAAGGUCAGCCGCCAGCACUGCUCCCCUCUCUCUGGGUGCUGGGGAAUUGUUUAUUUCUCACAUUGCUCACCCUCUUGCUUUUAGUUUUGCCGCCAGGUUCCCUGUGCUGGGGACCUUCCCAGCCUUUGGGGAAAGCAGCCCCUAUAAGCCUGCUCCUGUUCAGUAAAAACCCCAUAAAUUACUGAUCUCACACAGGCUUGGCUGCCUCUGCUGCAGCAGCACAAAGAUGUGCAUUGGUCACAAAGCAAAAAUAAGAGAUAAAAUCCCCAUGAGAUCAUCUUUCCUACUGCUGCCCCGGGGUGAGGGGAAGGGAUGUAAUGAAUAUGUUGGUGUUUCUGCCCCAAAGCCUCCUUGUCCCAGCCAGAGGCUCCCUUUGUCUGAGCCCGGGGCUGCCCCACUGCCCACAGUGUCACCUCUCUGGGGCUGGAGCCACAUCCCUUGGGCCUGACCCUGGGCCAGCUGCCACCCAUGGGCACUCCUGCCACAGACAGAGAGCUCUGGGUCUGCCCCAGCGUGCAGCUGAGUCCUUUCCCCUGAGACUCAAAGCUGCCCAUUUUUGCUGGCAACAGGGAGCUGUUUGAUGCUCUGGCACGGGUGGUGCGUGGCAGCUGGAAAGCCAAAUUUUGCUGUGGAGCCUCAGAGAUUUAGAGGUGAUAAUCAGCUGCCAGAUGCAGUGGAAAGGGAACAAUUGUGGAGUGUUGGGAGUGUUUGCAUGGGACUAAAUACAGCACGUGUGCCGUGUCCAUCUCAUCCUAUUUGUGUCCAUCCUAUUUGUGUCCAUCCCAUCCGUAUCCAUCCCAUCCUUGUCCAUCCCAUCCUUGUCCAUCCCAUCGUGUCCAUCCCAUUCCCGUCCAUCCCAUCCUUAUCCAUCCCAUCCCUGUCUAUCCCAUCCUUGUCCAUCCCAUCCUUGUCCAUCCCAUCCCUGUCCAUCCCAUCGUGUCCAUCCCAUCCUUAUCCAUC